AGGCAUAUGACAAAAUUGGCGAUAGUAUAUCGAUCGCUAACGCAUAUAGGUUGCUUUUUUAAUUUGUAACAAAAACAAAACAAGCUUUAUGUAAUAAUAUUUUUCGUUUCUUUAAAUUUUUUUUUUCAUUUUAUAAAUUUUUCAUGUGAGUCACGACAUAUGUAUAUAUAUUAUAUUUCAACACAGCCGGUCAAAGAUUCAGUUGGAGUAGGUAGAGGAUUGUGUCGGAUUAUUAUAUAUAAACUUUGUAACGUUU
rnacentral:lncRNA from 1 species